GAAAGGAUUGGGAGGAAGAAUGAAAAGAUACCUUUCCUUUAGACAUUUCUAAGCUUGCAAAUGCACAGGCAAUGAGAACCACCUCUCUUCACUCCCUGGCAUUUGAGGCUUUUUACGUAAAAAUUUAAACUAAUGAUUAUAUUAGAAAUUUUUAAAUGUUUAAAAAAAGUAUGUUGUAAAAUUGAGGAAAUAUAGUAUUUUGAGAGUCCAAACACGUUCAUGCAGUUGAUUGAGCCUAAGUGUUGGGUUAAUCCUAGUAAGUGAUUGAUCUUUUUAGGUAGGUAAGGGAAUAAACAGAAGAUCAGAAAAGAAGAGGUACUACUAUUACAUUUUAAGUUUCCAAAUAUACUACUAAGUGUCUCUAGUAAAACUUAACUCAUUGAAGAAGAAAAUAGUCUGACUCUAAAAAAAGAGUGUGUGUUCCUGAGAAAGACUAAACCAGUUAUUUUCUCCUUUCAUGUUUGAAUGAAUAACCAUCAGCAAGGGAGAGAUGCACUGACCUUCUGCCAGGAAUCCUAGAGUUCCUUGGAGAGGAUAUGAAGGUUAUUCUCAGGCCAUGCAGAUGGGCAAGAAAGGAUGUGCGUCCAUGGUUCCUCUUCAAAUCCAACCAAAACAGCCUUGCUUCCGUUGGCUUUAUAUAAUACUGCAACUCUUGAUAAUCUGAUUUAACACAAAUUUCCUCAUUGAGUUUCUCCUCAUGAAGAAACGGCCUCAGUGAGGUAAAUCGGAAUGCACAGGAGCACAUAGCAGGUUAGUGCAGACCAGAAAUCAAACCCA
rnacentral:lncRNA from 1 species